GAUGAACGCUGGCGGCGUGCUUAACACAUGCAAGUCGAACGAAACACCUUAUUUGAUUUUCUUCGGAACUGAAGAUUUGGUGAUUGAGUGGCGGACGGGUGAGUAACGCGUGGGUAACCUGCCCUGUACAGGGGGAUAACAGUCAGAAAUGACUGCUAAUACCGCAUAAGACCACAGCACCGCAUGGUGCAGGGGUAAAAACUCCGGUGGUACAGGAUGGACCCGCGUCUGAUUAGCUGGUUGGUGAGGUAACAGCUCACCAAGGCGACGAUCAGUAGCCGGGUUGAGAGAGUGAACGGCCACAUUGGGACGGAGACACGGCCCAAACUCCUACGGGAGGCAGCAGUGGGGAAUAUUGCACAAUGGGGGAAACCCUGAAGGGGCGACGCCGGGUGAGUGAAGAAGUAUUUCGGUAUGUAAAGCUCGAUCAGCAGGGAAGAAAAUGACGGUACCUGACGAAGAAGCCCCGGCUAACUACGUG
rnacentral:rRNA from 1 species